rnacentral:rRNA from 1 species
UUGUUCACAAUGGGCGCAAGCCUGAUGACGCAACGCCGCGUGGAGGAUGAAGGUCUUCGGAUUGUAAACUCCUGUUGCUCGGGACGAAAAGCUCUGACCUAACACGUCAGAGUCUGACGGUACCGGGUGAGGAAGCCCCGGCUAACUCUGUGCCAGCAGCCGCGGUAAUACAGAGGGGGCAAGCGUUGUUCGGAAUUACUGGGCGUAAAGGGCGCGUAGGCGGCCUUCUAAGUCAGACGUGAAAUCCCCGGGCUCAACCCGGGAACUGCGUCUGAUACUGGAGGGCUUGAAUCCGGGAGAGGGAUGUGGAAUUCCAGGUGUAGCGGUGAAAUGCGUAGAUAUCUGGAGGAACACCGGGGCGAAGGCGGCAUCCUGACCGGUAUUGACGCUGAGGCGCGA